UACGAAGGGGGCUAGCGUUGUUCGGAUUUACUGGGCGUAAAGCGCACGUAGGCGGAUCGUUAAGUCGGGGGUGAAAUCCUGGAGCUCAACUCCAGAACUGCCUUCGAUACUGGCGAUCUCGAGUCCGGAAGAGGUGAGUGGAAUUCCUAGUGUAGAGGUGAAAUUCGUAGAUAUUAGGAAGAACACCAGUGGCGAAGGCGGCUCACUGGUCCGGUACUGACGCUGAGGUGCGAAAGCGUGGGGAGCAAACAGG
rnacentral:rRNA from 1 species